UACGGAGGGUGCAAGCGUUGUCCGGAUUUAUUGGGUUUAAAGGGUGCGUAGGCGGCCCGUUAAGUCAGUGGUGAAAGCCUCCAGCUCAACUGGAGAACUGCCAUUGAUACUGACGGGCUUGAGUACAGACGAGGUUGGCGGAAUUGAUUGUGUAGCGGUGAAUGCAUAGAUACAAUCAAGAACUCCGAUUGCGUAGGCAGCUAACUAGGCUGUAACUGACGCUGAGGCACGAAAGCGUGGGGAGCGAACA
rnacentral:rRNA from 1 species